rnacentral:rRNA from 1 species
CGCUUUCAGCCCAACCUAUUGAAAGUCCGACCUGCCCAGUGAAAUUUUCAACGGCCGCGGUACCCUGACCGUGCUAAGGUAGCAUAAUCCCUUGCCUUUUAAUUGAUGGCUAGUAUGAAUGGUCAGACGAGUGUAAUCUUGUCUCUAGUAAACUUACUAAAAUCUAACUUUUAGGUGCAAAGGCCUAUACUUUUAAGAAGGACAAAAAGACCCUAUCGAGCUUUACACCACUAGGCCCUCUAAAGUCUAAUAACUGUUUUGUUGGGGCAACAAUGGAACAAGCAAACCUUCCUUCAUGUUUAUUUCAAUAAAUUAAUAAACCAAUUUUAUUUAUUUCAACAAAAGCUACCGUAGGGAUAACAGACUAAUCUCCCCCAAGAGCUCACAUUGACGGGGAGGCUUGGCACCUCGAUGUUGGCUUAGGGCUUCAUUAAGAAGCAGCCUUCUUAAUUGCAGGUUUGUUCAACCUUUAAUAGCCCU